UACGUAGGGUGCAAGCGUUAAUCGGAAUUACUGGGCGUAAAGCGUGCGCAGGCGGUGAUGUAAGACAGGUGUGAAAUCCCCGGGCUUAACCUGGGAACUGCAUUUGUGACUGCAUUGCUGGAGUGCGGCAGAGGGGGAUGGAAUUCCGCGUGUAGCAGUGAAAUGCGUAGAUAUGCGGAGGAACACCGAUGGCGAAGGCAAUCCCCUGGGCCUGCACUGACGCUCAUGCACGAAAGCGUGGGAGCAAACAGG
rnacentral:rRNA from 1 species